GGAAGUGCGACCGAGCGGUUUAUGGCACCGCUCUCGAAAACCGACGAUAGUAAACUGUCCGCGAGUUCGAAUCUCGCCACUUCCG
rnacentral:tRNA from 1 species